GCCAUAUCGCGAUGAAACACCGGUUCGCGUACGAUCACCGAAGUUAAGCAACGUCGAGUCUGGUCACUAUCUAGAGGGGUGACCACUUGGGAAUAGCAAGUGCUGUAAG